UAUCUUUAGCGCUAGUUCUGGGGCGGUAAACGUUUGACCCAGAGGACGAGGAGAAGGUUGUCGAGUAGUCAGCGGAUGCCUUCCGGCUGGUCCGGCCGAGAAAGCCUGUUUAAAGCCCUGUCGUGAGACAGGGGAGAGAGACAG
rnacentral:ncRNA from 1 species